CCCGGUUAGGCCUCGCAUCUUAGAAAGGAGUGCGCCAACGCCAGAAGCCGCGCGCUUCGGUGUUCCUGAUGUUGACAUUGUUUUCUCGCUUACAUCAGUUCUGCUGCUGGUAAUAGCGAAGUGCAGAAGUGUGGGGUAACCUUGAAAGCUGGAAUUACAAAGCCGGAUGCUGCACACUGCUGUGACUAUGCCUGACUAAGCCACCCAACAAAGUACACCAGAGGCUUCAACAGUCCUCAUCAAGUCUUGAGUGAUGCACCAGUGUGAUCCUGCCAUCUUUAGUGGCAUUGAUAACCAUAACAUGGAGGAUUGAUUUCUUUUGUAUGUAAGGGUGAGCCAAUAUAACAAAUGGAACGAUGCGUUGCUAAGAGUGGGAGUGUGCCCCAGCCAUGUACACUAGCUUUCUUGCAAAAACAUACAAUGCCAACAGAAAAAGAUUCUGGCAAAAGCAGUCUUUGGUUGAGAUCUUUGUAAGCGAUAGUUAGUGCAUUAUGCAUGCCACAGUAACUCUGUCUUCUUAAAAGAAUGAUAUGUUUCGCUUGUUGGUAUUCUAUACUGAAACUAUUGACAGCACGAAACCACACUAACUGCACAAAAAAGAUACAUGGACAAGCGCUGUCUAUGUAUUCUUUGUAGUUCCCCGUGUUCAUGCUUGUGUCAGAUGCUGGGCACCUGUUAGCUGCAGUCCCAUUUUUUGUGUUGCUAGGCUUACAUGGGUACUGAGAUGGUAGGACAAUACACUGCAUUAAGCUAAGCAGGAAUAGAGCUUUUUAGCACCCUUGGGUACAGGCAUAAGUGCAUUUCCCACAGAAUGUACAGACGGUAAGAAAAGCUAUUUUAAAUGGAACUUGGGAAGUAAAGCACUCCAGAUGGGAAAAUGUCACCACA